UAGGGAAUCUUCGGCAAUGGGGGGAACCCUGACCGAGCAACGCCGCGUGAGUGAAGAAGGUUUUCGGAUCGUAAAGCUCUGUUGUUAAGGAAGAACGAGUGUGAGAAUGGAAAGUUCAUGCUGUGACGGUACUUAACCAGAAAGGGACGGCUAACUACGUGCCAGCAGCCGCGGUAAUCCGUAGGUCCCGAGCGUUGUCCGGAUUUAUUGGGCGUAAAGCGAGCGCAGGCGGUUAGAAAAGUCUGAAGUGAAAGGCAGUGGCUCAACCAUUGUAGGCUUUGGAAACUGUUUAACUUGGGUGCAGAAGGGGAGGGUGGAAUUCCAUGUGUAGCGGUGAAAUGCGUAGAUAUUGGGAGGAACACCAGUAGCGAAGGCGGCUUUCUGGACUGCAACUGACACUGAGGCACGAAAGCGUGGGUAGCAAACAGG
rnacentral:rRNA from 1 species